rnacentral:tRNA from 2 species
GCCUGAUGAGCUCAGUUGGCAGAGAAUGGGACUCUUAAUCCCAGGCUCNUGGGUUCGAGCCCCAUGUUGGGUG